rnacentral:rRNA from 1 species
AUUGAACGCUGGCGGCAUGCUUUACACAUGCAGGUCGAACGGUAACAGGGAGCUUGCUCCGCUGACGAGUGGCGAACGGGUGAGUAAUGCGUCGGAACGUGCCGAGUAGUGGGGGAUAACGCAUCGAAAGGUGUGCUAAUACCGCAUACGUACUGAGGUAGAAAGUGGGGGACCUUCGGGCCUCACGCUAUUCGAGCGGCCGACGUCUGAUUAGCUAGUUGGUGAGGUAAAGGCUCACCAAGGCGACGAUCAGUAGCGGGUCUGAGAGGAUGAUCCGCCACCCUGGGACUGAGACACGGCCCAGACUCCUACGGGAGGCAGCAGUGGGGAAUUUUGGACAAUGGGCGCAAGCCUGAUCCAGCCUCGCCGCGUGUCUGAAGAAGGCCUUCGGGUUGUAAAGGACUUUUGUCCGGGAGCAAAUGCUGGUGGCUAACAUCCACCGGAGCUGAGAGUACCGGAAGAAUAAGCACCGGCUAACUACGUGCCAGCAGCCGCGGUAAUAC